GGGGAAUCUUGCACAAUGGGGGCAACCCUGAUGCAGCGACGCCGCGUGAGCGAUGAAGCCCUUCGGGGCGUAAAGCUCUUUCGACCGGAACGAUAAUGACGGUACCGGGAGAAGAAGCUGCGGCUAACUACGUGCCAGCAGCCGCGGUAAUACGUAGGCAGCAAGCGUUGUUCGGAGUUACUGGGCGUAAAGAGUGCGUAGGCGGUCUUCUAAGUUCGGUGUGAAGUCUCCCGGCUUAACUGGGAGGGUGCGCCGAAGACUGGGAAGUUGGAAUGUGGGAAAGGCAGGCGGAAUUCCUGGUGUAGCGGUGAAAUGCGUAGAUAUCAGGAGGAACACCGGCGGUGUAGACGGCUUGCUAGACCAUAACUGACGCUGAGGCACGAAAGCGUGGGUAGCAAACA
rnacentral:rRNA from 1 species